GGUGGGAGCGGGCUUGCUCGCGAAUGCGCAGUGUCAGUCAUCCAUUCGAUAACUGACAGACCGCAUUCGCGAGCAAGCCCGCUCCCACA
rnacentral:misc_RNA from 1 species